ensembl:lncRNA ITFG2-AS1 ITFG2 antisense RNA 1
UCCCUGCACAGAUCCAGGCUGUCUCUUGCGGUGCGCAUGCACCUACCGUAUCGUUAUCAACGUCUCCGAGGCAGAUUGCGUGCGGGAAGAGGCUCCCGCUGAACUCCAGCGCCACGCGCUGCACGUAGCUAACUGACCUCAUGGCACCUCCAAGAGCAGAGGGAGCGGAGAGGCCCAGUAAAUAUUCCCUGAACCCCCGUCGCGACAGCCGCCAGAGCGGAAGGCCACCUAAGGCAGCAAGUUACGUCACUGCCUGAACCUCCAAUCUCUGCCUCUUCCUCCUUUAACCUUACAGAGGAGGCGGGUCUUCCGGGCUUGGAGGCGGGCUUCCCAACUCUGAUGUGCAGCAAGACUUGGUUUGAAAAAGGAGACAAAAGGCUGAGAGAUCUGAGUUCAAGUUUCCGCUGUAUG